rnacentral:tRNA from 1 species
GCCCCUAUGGCUCAACUGGUAGAGCAACUGAUUUGUAAUCAGUAGGUUGGAGGUUCAAGUCCUUCUAGGGGCACCA